UUACGGCUACAUCACGUUGAAAUACCGGUUCCCUUACGAUACACCGAAGUUAAGCAACGUCGAACCUGGUCAAUAUCUAGAUGAGUGAACGCCUGGGAAUACUAGAUACUGUAAG